CGAAGAUACCAGCUGGCUGCAACUGUUUAAUAAAAACACAGCACUGUGCAAACACGAAAGUGGACGUAUACGGUGUGACGCCUGCCCGGUGCUGGAAGGUUAAUUGAUGGGGUCAGCCGCAAGGCGAAGCUCUUGAUCGAAGCCCCAGUAAACGGCGGCCGUAACUAUAACGGUCCUAAGGUAGCGAAAUUCCUUGUCGGGUAAGUUCCGACCUGCACGAAUGGCGUAAUGAUGGCCAGGCUGUCUCCACCCGAGACUCAGUGAAAUUGAACUCGCUGUGAAGAUGCAGUGUACCCGCGGCAAGACGGAAAGACCCCGUGAACCUUUACUAUAGCUUGACACUGAACAUUGAGCCUUGAUGUGUAGGAUAGGUGGGAGGCUUUGAAGCGUGGACGCCAGUCUGCGUGGAGCCAUCCUUGAAAUACCACCCUUUAAUGUUUGAUGUUCUAACUCGGCCCCGUGAUCCGGGGUGAGGACAGUGUCUGGUGGGUAGUUUGACUGGGGCGGUCUCCUCCCAAAGAGUAACGGAGGAGCACGAAGGUUAGCUAAUCACGGUCGGACAUCGUGAGGUUAGUGCAAAGGCAUAAGCUAGCUUGACUGCGAGAGUGACGGCUCGAGCAGGUACGAAAGUAGGUCUUAGUGAUCCGGUGGUUCUGAAUGGAAGGGCCAUCGCUCAACGGAUAAAAGGUACUCCGGGGAUAACAGGCUGAUACCGCCCAAGAGUUCAUAUCGACGGCGGUGUUUGGCACCUCGAUGUCGGCUCAUCACAUCCUGGGGCUGAAGUAGGUCCCAAGGGUAUGGCUGUUCGCCAUUUAAAGUGGUACGCGAGCUGGGUUUAGAACGUCGUGAGACAGUUCGGUCCCUAUCUGCCGUGGGCGUUGGAAGAUUGAGAGGGGUUGCUCCUAGUACGAGAGGACCGGAGUGAACGCACCACUGGUGUUCGGGUUGUCAUGCCAAUGGCAUUGCCCGGUAGCUAAGUGCGGAAAAGAUAAGCGCUGAAAGCAUCUAAGCGCGAAACUUGCCUCAA
rnacentral:rRNA from 1 species